rnacentral:rRNA from 1 species
CAGUAGCCGCGGUAAUACGAAGGGUGCAAGCGUUACUCGGAAUUACUGGGCGUAAAGCGCGCGUAGGCGGUUACUCAAGUCAGAGGUGAAAGCCCGGGGCUCAACCCCGGAACUGCCUUUGAAACUAGGUGACUAGAAUCUUGGAGAGGUCAGUGGAAUUCCGAGUGUAGAGGUGAAAUUCGUAGAUAUUCGGAAGAACACCAGUGGCGAAGGCGACUGACUGGACAAGUAUUGACGCUGAGGUGCGAAAGCGUGGGGAGCAAACAGGAUUAGAUACCCCCGUAGUCCCUGUCUCUUAUAC